CCAUACGUGGCCUAAUGGAUAAGGCGUUUGACUUCUAAUCAAACGAUUGUGGGUUCGAAUCCCACCGGGCGUG
rnacentral:tRNA from 1 species